rnacentral:rRNA from 1 species
AUGGUUCAGAUUACCUCUUCUACAACCAUCAACGACGGACUGGUUCAUGGGUGUGCCAUCCAUUUUGGCUCGUUGGACUUCCUCACUGAUGCGGGAGAUAUCCCAUGGUGGCUCUUUGCGGAUGAUGUGGUGCUAGUUGACGAUAGUCGGACGGGGGUAAAUAGUAAGUUAGAGUUAUGGAGACAAUCGAAAGGGUUUAGGCUUAGUAGAACUAAAACCGAGUACAUGAUGUGCGGUUUCAGUUCUACUAGGCGCGAGGAGGAGGUUAGCCUUGAUGGGCAUGUGGUGCCUCAGAAGGACACCUUUCGAUAUUUGGGGUCAAUGCUGCAGAAGGAUGGGGGUAUUGAUGAAGAUGUGAACCAUCGAAUCAAAGCCGGAUCGAUGAAGUGGCGCCAAGCUUCUGGCAUUCGCUGUGACAAGAGAGUGCCACAAAAGCUAAAAGGCAAGUUCAACAGGACGGCGGUUCGACCUGCAAUGUUGUAUGGCCCUGAGUGUUGGCCGACUAAAAGGCGACAUGUUCAACAGUUAGGUGUGGCGGAGAUGCGUAUGUUGAGAUGGAUGUGUGGCCACACGAGGAAGGAUUGA